CCGGGAGAGAGGGUUUCCUGACUCUCAGAGAUGUCGCCACUUCUCAAAGACCAUUGGAAAUCCUUUUAGAAAGACUUCAGUUACUUGUUGCCUUACAGUAAGACCACCAGAGCACACGCAGCAGGAGACGAGAGAACAGCACCCAGACAGUUACUACAUAAACUCAAACUCUCCUAGUCUUUGUCACUUUAAGUUCAUCAGAAAGUCACAGCGAGCGUCAGAGCGGAAAAAUGAGUUUUGUGAGAAAUCCCCCCGAUUUACUCCGACACCUAUGCCUCAGUUCAUCAUGUGAAUACUGCUCGUCACCGCAGUGCUCACACGCCACACCUGCAGAGAGACGAAACACUUCAAUACCCCGAGGAGAUUUUCCUUCUUCAUCCCAAAGAAUCAAAUCCUUAGCAAAGGAUUUAUGGAAAAACCCUGAAUGCAGAAUCCUGGUUGUACACAACAGGAGUGCAAUCCCACACAGCAGCACCCGAUCAGCAUCA